UACGGAGGGUGCGAGCGUUGUUCGGAAUUAUUGGGCGUAAAGGGCGCGUAGGCGGGUUUUUAAGUCUGAUGUGAAAUCCCUCGGCUCAACCGAGGACGUGCAUUGGAUACUGGAAAUCUUGAGUCCUGGAGAGGAAAGCGGAAUUCCCAGUGUAGAGGUGAAAUUCGUAGAUAUUGGGAGGAACACCGGCGGCGAAGGCGGCUUUCUGGACAGUGACUGACGCUGAGGCGCGAAAGCGUGGGUAGCAAAC
rnacentral:rRNA from 1 species